AGAAAAGCCCUGGCUCUUAGAGCUGGGCAGGCAAGCUUUGAUAUGCAAAUACAGGCCAUUAGAAACUGCGUCCACCCAAACAUGGAGACUCCCGCCUCUUCUUCUUUUCCCCACGUUCCUGGCAACAUGGCCGCCCCUACAUACACCCAUGUGUGUAGAACAUCAUGGCGCCUGUAUUUGCAUAUUAAAAGGCUAGGGUAGGAAGGCUAGUUUUUUCGUGGGCUACUUGAAUGACAUACCUGGUCAAACCAAUCCCCUGGGCCCUAUGCAAAUCAGGUACCGCCUCCUCCAGCCUCCUCAUAUAACUGGCUGUUUUCCACCGUACUCGAGGUUCCCUCUUUCAGCUUGGAGCCCGCCUCCCUCAGUCUCAGAACAGGGGGAGCCUCUUCCUUCCUUCUUUCUUGUCUAUUAAAUUCUCCACUCCUUAAAACCACUCCACGUGUGCCCAUGUUGUUUUAUUCAAACCAGUGGGAGACCAAGGACCCUAGUGUUCCUCCAGUCAUCAGAGCCAUACCAUUUUGUUGCAUUGGCCGGGAAUCCAAGAUGGGUAACAGAUCGUCUUCUCUGCACUCCAACCUGGGUGACAGAAUGAGGCUUCAUCUAAAAAAAUUAAUAUAAUGAAUCACAUUAAUAGAAUAAAGAAGAAAACCCACAUAAUCAUGUAAACGCACAAAAACCACUAUCUGAAAUCCAUUACUUUUCAUGAUAAACUAGGAAUUAAAAGGUGCCUAUAAGCAACCCAUUACAACCCAUGGCAAAAUCUUUCCUUUAGAAUCAGGAAGAGGACAAGAUUGCUCAAAAUCACUACUUUGAUUCAACACUUUGAUUAGCCUGCACAAUACAACAAGAAAGAGAAACAAAAGACAUGAGAAUUAGAAAGAAAAACAAAGCUCUAAAUUAUUCUAGAUUAAUUGAUUAUCUACAUAUAAAACUGAAAACAAUUACUAAGAUUUUUUGCAGAGUUGCUAAAUAUAUAUAAUCAGUAAGGAUCAAUUGUUUAUCUACAUGCAUGCAAUGAAUAACUUGAAAAUGCAAUAAAAGAUGCCACAAAAUGGGGCGGGGCGCGGUGGCUCAUGCCUGUAAUCCCAGCACUUUGGGAGGCUGAGGCAGAUGGAUCACGAGGUCAUCAGUUCAAGACCAGCCUGACCAACAUGGUGAAACCCCG
rnacentral:lncRNA from 10 species